rnacentral:rRNA from 1 species
UCAGAUUGCAGGCUGCAACUCGCCUGCAUGAAGUUGGAAUUGCUAGUAAUCGCGAAUCAGAAUGUCGCGGUGAAUACGUUCCCGGGCCUUGUACACACCGCCCGUCACACCAUGAGAGUCGGGAACACCCGAAGUCCGUAGUCUAACCGCAAGGGGGCGCGGCCGAAGGUGGGUCCGGUAAUUGGGGUGAAGUCGUAACAAGGUACC